UAUCAAAAAGGAUAACAUGCAUUUUAUCGAAAAGGAGAGAAAAUUUCUACAUAUCUGUACAUUUACAUAAGCUGAAAAAAAGAAACGCCCAUCAAGUUAAGCAUUUUUCACAAGUGUUUCUGCUGUUGAUCCAAAAGAAGGCAAAAAAAAACCUGUUUGAAAUCCUUUACGAUUUUGCAAUUUUUCUCGACCCCAAAUUGACAGUCAGACCUCUCCUUGGAUGAAGAAGGUCUAACCCCACAUUUUAAAUAUCAUAUCCUUGUAUGUUACGCUUUUGCAAUAAUUCAUCUAGUCGCU